CAAUAGCGUAUAUUAAAGUUGUUGCGGUUAAAAAGCUCGUAGUUGGAUUUCUGCCGAGGACGACCGGUCCGCCCUCUGGGUGAGUAUCUGGCUCGGCCUGGGCAUCUUCUUGGAGAACGUAGCUGCACUUGACUGUGUGGUGCGGUAUCCAGGACUUUUACUUUGAGGAAAUUAGAGUGUUUCAAGCAGGCUUACGCCUUGAAUACAUUAGCAUGGAAUAAUAAGAUAGGACCUCGGUUCUAUUUUGUUGGUUUCUAGAGCUGAGGUAAUGAUUAAUAGGGAUAGUUGGGGCAUUCGUAUUUAACUGUCAGAGGUGAAAUUCUUGGAUUUGUUAAAGACGGACUACUGCGAANGNAUUUGCNAAGGAUGUUUNCAUUG
rnacentral:rRNA from 1 species